UUGGUGAGGUAACGGCUCACCAAGGCGACGAUCAGUAGCCGGCUUGAGAGAGUGAACGGCCACAUUGGGACUGAGACACGGCCCAAACUCCUACGGGAGGCAGCAUG
rnacentral:rRNA from 1 species